rfam:Oryza glumipatula chromosome 5, whole genome shotgun sequence.
UCAUACUCCCUCUCUGAGUUUUUUAUCCAACUUUAACUGUCUGUCUUAUAUAAAAUUUUUUUAUAAUUUGUAUUUUUAUUGUUGUUAGAUAAUAAAGCAUGAUUAAUAUUUUAUGCGUGACUUGUCUUUUUAAUUUUUUUUAUAAUUUUUUUAAAUAAGACGGACGGUCAAACGUUGGACACAGAAACUAGGG